rnacentral:rRNA from 1 species
UUUAUGGAGAGUUUGAUCCUGGCUCAGGACGAACGCUGGCGGCGUGCCUAAUACAUGCAAGUCGAGCGAAUCGUUAGGAGCUUGCUCCUGAUGGUUAGCGGCGGACGGGUGA